rnacentral:rRNA from 1 species
UACGAAGGGGGCUAGCGUUGCUCGGAAUCACUGGGCGUAAAGCGCACGUAGGCGGCUUUCUAAGUCAGGGGUGAAAUCCUGGAGCUCAACUCCAGAACUGCCUUUGAUACUGGAGAGCUUGAGUCCGGGAGAGGUAAGUGGAACUCCGAGUGUAGAGGUGAAAUUCGUAGAUAUUCGGAAGAACACCAGUGGCGAAGGCGGCUCACUGGCCCGGUACUGACGCUGAUGUGCGAAAGCGUGGGGAGCAAACAGG